UACGUAGGGGGCAAGCGUUGUCCGGAAUCAUUGGGCGUAAAGCGCGUGUAGGCGGCUUGGUAAGUCCGCUCUGAAAGCCCGGGGCUCAACCCCGGGAGGCGGGUGGAUACUGCUGAGCUCGAGUCCGGAAGAGGAGUGUGGAAUUCCUGGUGCAGCGGUGAAAUGCGCAGAUAUCAGGAGGAACACCGAUGGCGAAGGCAGGUCUCUGGGCCGAUACUGACGCUGAGGAGCGAAAGCGUGGGGAGCGAACAGG
rnacentral:rRNA from 1 species